GACGAACGCUGGCGGCGUGCCUAAUACAUGCAAGUAGAACGCACAGUUUAUACCGUAGCUUGCUACACCAUAGACUGUGAGUUGCGAACGGGUGAGUAACGCGUAGGUAACCUGCCUGGUAGCGGGGGAUAACUAUUGGAAACGAUAGCUAAUACCGCAUAAUAUUGAUUAUUGCAUGAUAAUUGAUUGAAAGAUGCUAUUGCAUCACUACCAGAUGGACCUGCGUUGUAUUAGCUAGUAGGUGAGGUAACGGCUCACCUAGGCGACGAUACAUAGCCGACCUGAGAGGGUGAUCGGCCACACUGGGACUGAGACACGGCCCAGACUCCUACGGGAGGCAGCAGUAGGGAAUCUUCGGCAAUGGACGAAAGGCUGACCGAGCAACGCCGCGUGAGUGAAGAAGGUUUUCGGAUCGUAAAGCUCGGUUGUAAGAGAAGAACGGGUGUGAGAGUGGAAAGUUCACACUGUGACGGUAGCUUACCAGAAAGGGACGGCUAACUACGUG
rnacentral:rRNA from 1 species